AGAGUUUGAUCCUGGCUCAGGAUAAACGCUGGCGGCGUGCCUAACACAUGCAAGUCGAACGCUCUCCAGAGGAAACUUUGGAGGGAGUGGCGGACGGGUGAGGAACACGUGGGUUAUCUGCCUUGAGGUGAGGAAUACCGGCGAGAAAUCGCCGACAAUACCGCAUGGCCUGAGGGAACUCAGGAAAGCCGAGGAAUCGG
rnacentral:rRNA from 1 species